GUAAAGUUGACAAGAAGGGGAAGAGAAAGGUUACCUAUUUCACUUUCUUGCACACACCCUUCUAUCUUCUACCCGUCCCUGAACUUCUGCCUGGCACGGAGCAGCAGAGGCACAGAAUAUGAGGAACAACAAAGGAUGUGAAAGCCCAACAGAAGACCAGAUUUUCAGAAAUGCGGAAGGUGCCGUGUUCAGGCAACCUCCCACAGGCGUGCUCCGCGAUGCAGGGGACGUGGGUGUCGCUCGAGAACUUCCGGAGCACCCGCUGACGCUGACGGGCCGGGGAGAAAUGGGAAUUAUGCACUCUGGGAACCCUGGGGACGUGACAGUUAACUCGUUUACAUUGAAAGUUGAACAGAUCUGCCCCAAGUAACAGAUAAACAUAUUGACACAGAUUGUAAAUCGCAGUGGUGCAGAGCUGGCGGGGGUCCAGAGAUCAUCUCACCCGACUGGCUCCUGGUACAGAAAAGGAAACUGAGGCCGGGACAUCCCACGUGACCGGCGCAGCUGCACCCAAGAGAGCGGGGGGCGGGCAGAGCUAGGGCUCAAGUGUUGCUUUCUUGGCUCCUAGUCCAGUCCGCUUUUCUUACAAGCCCCCAUAUGCCUCUGAACUUGAGUGGAAUGAUUCUGUUAUCUUACAACAGACAGAAGGCAGUGAGGGAAACAAGAUGGAAAAAAAAAAAAAG